rnacentral:lncRNA from 10 species
GACUGUCUACAAGAGAGAAGCUCCCCACGUGGUUCCGUCUUCAGAAGGGAGGAAAACACAGAAGACGAGGGCUGAAAGAUGGCAUUGGACUUGGCACAGGGAUGGUCAGGAGGUCCUGAGUCACUUUGAGAAGGUACAAAGGAAGCCAGAUUGAGCCAGCUUGAAGAGUCAGGGAGAGGGAGGGGUGGAGAUGGCUGUGGAAAAUGUUUGACUCUGAAAACUUGGGGUCUAGAAGGGAGGUGUUUGGGUUGCAUCUUUAGUAUGAGCUACUUGGUUAUAUUUAAAGCCUGAAAAUGAGUUAGUAGAGAAACUUUGAAAAUUAAGAGACAGAGAGCACGUGGAUGCUGCUAGACAUUGGUCCCUGAGGAGUCAAGAGGGUGAUUCAGAGGAUGGAGAGGUGCUGUUUCCUGGGAAUGGGGGUGUCCUCUCAUCACCACAGCACCAUUGUCAGCUUACAAAACCCGUCUAGAUGCUGCACCCCAGUAUUUCCAGUCCCCCCAGUAAUGUCUUUUAUAUUAUUUUCCCUCCAGCACAGGAUGUGGUCUGGGAUCAGGUGU